rnacentral:rRNA from 1 species
AGGGAAAGGUGAAAAGCACCCCGGAAGGGGAGUGAAACAGUUCCUGAAACCGUGUGCCUACAAGUAGUUAGAGCCCGUUAAUGGGUGAUAGCGUGCCUUUUGUAGAAUGAACCGGCGAGUUACGAUUUGUUGCAAGGUUAAGCGGAAAAAGCGGAGCCGUAGCGAAAGCGAGUCUGAAUAGGGCGCAUAAGUAACAGGUCGUAGACCCGAAACCAGGUGAUCUACCCAUGUCCAGGAUGAAGGUAAGGUAAUACUUACUGGAGGUCCGAACCCACGCACGUUGAAAAGUGCGGGGAUGAGGUGUGGGUAGCGGAGAAAUUCCAAUCGAACUUGGAGAUAGCUGGUUCUCUCCGAAAUAGCUUUAGGGCUAGCCUCGAGGUAAAGAGUCAUGGAGGUAGAGCACUGUUUGGACUAGGGGCCCUUCUCGGGUUACCGAAUUCAGAUAAACUCCGAAUGCCAUGUACUUAUACUCGGGAGUCAGACUGCGAGUGAUAAGAUCCGUAGUCGAAAGGGAAACAGCCCAGACCACCAGUUAAGGUCCCCAAAUAUAUGUUAAGUGGAAAAGGAUGUGGGGUUGCUUAGACAACCAGGAUGUUGGCUUAGAAGCAGCCACCAUUGAAAGAGUGCGUAAUAGCUCACUGGUCGAGUGACCCCGCGCCGAAAAUGUACCGGGGCUAAACAUAUUACCGAAACUGUGGAUGAACCUCUUUAGAGGUUCGUGGUAGGAGAGCGUUCUAAGGGCGGUGAAGUCAGACCGGAAGGACUGGUGGAGCGCUUAGAAGUGAGAAUGCCGGUAUGAGUAGCGAAAGAAGGGUGAGAAUCCCUUCCACCGAAUAUCUAAGGUUUCCUGAGGAAGGCUCGUCCGCUCAGGGUUAGUCGGGACCUAAGCCGAGGCCGAUAGGCGUAGGCGAUGGACAACAGGUAGAGAUUCCUGUACCAGUGCUAAUUGUUUAACCGAUGGGGUGACACAGAAGGAUAGGGAAUCGCACGAAUGGAAAUGUGCGUCCAAGCAGUGAGUGUGAGAAGUAGGCAAAUCCGCUUCUCGCGAAGCAUGAGCUGUGAUGGGGAAGGAAAUUAAGUACGGAAGUUCCUGAUUUCACGCUGUCAAGAAAAGCCUCUAGGAAGAGUAGUACUGCCCGUACCGCAAACCGACACAGGUAGAUGAGGAGAGAAUCCUAAGGUGAGCGAGAGAACUCUCGUUAAGGAACUCGGCAAAAUGACCCCGUAACUUCGGGAGAAGGGGUGCUCUAUUAGGGUGCAAGCCCGAGAGAGCCGCAGUGAAUAGGCCCAGGCGACUGUUUAGCAAAAACACAGGUCUCUGCAAAACCGUAAGGUGACGUAUAGGGGCUGACGCCUGCCCGGUGCUGGAAGGUUAAGAGGAGUGCUUAGCUUCGGCGAAGGUACGAAUUGAAGCCCCAGUAAACGGCGGCCGUAACUAUAACGGUCCUAAGGUAGCGAAAUUCCUUGUCGGGUAAGUUCCGACCCGCACGAAAGGCGCAACGAUCUGGGCACUGUCUCAACGAGAGACUCGGUGAAAUUAUAGUACCUGUGAAGAUGCAGGUUACCCGCGACAGGACGGAAAGACCCCGUGGAGCUUUACUGCAACCUGAUAUGGAAUGUUUGUACCGCUUGUACAGGAUAGGUAGGAGCCGAAGAGACGUGUGCGCUAGCAUACGAGGAGGCAAUGGUGGGAUACUACCCUGGCUGUAUGACCAUUCUAACCCGCCACGCUUAGCGCGUGGGGAGACAGUGUCAGGUGGGCAGUUUGACUGGGGCGGUCGCCUCCUAAAGAGUAACGGAGGCGCCCAAAGGUUCCCUCAGAAUGGAUGGAAAUCAUUCGCAGAGUGUAAAGGCACAAGGGAGCUUGACUGCGAGACUGACAAGUCGAGCAGGGACGAAAGUCGGGCUUAGUGAUCCGGUGGUUCCGCAUGGAAGGGCCAUCGCUCAACGGAUAAAAGCUACCCCGGGGAUAACAGGCUUAUCUCCCCCAAGAGUCCACAUCGAC